rnacentral:rRNA from 1 species
UACGUAGGGUGCGAGCGUUAAUCGGAAUUACUGGGCGUAAAGCGUGCGUAGGCGGUCCGCGAAGUCUGAUGUGAAAGCCCCGGGCUCAACCUGGGAACUGCAUUGGAAACUAACGGGCUCGAGUGUGGCAGAGGGGGGUGGAAUUCCACGUGUAGCAGUGAAAUGCGUAGAGAUGUGGAGGAACACCGAUGGCGAAGGCAGCCCCCUGGGCUAACACUGACGCUCAGGCACGGAAGCGUGGGGAGCAAACAGG